UACAGAGGGUGCGAGCGUUAAUCGGAUUUACUGGGCGUAAAGCGUGUGUAGGUGGCUUCCUAAGUCGAUUGUGAAAUCCCUGGGCUCAACCUGGGAAUUGCAGUCGAUACUGGGGAGCUCGAGUUCGGUAGAGAACGGCGGAAUUCCCGGUGUAGCGGUGAAAUGCGUAGAUAUCGGGAGGAACAUCGAUGGCGAAAGCAACCGUCUGGGCCUGAACUGACACUGAGACACGAAAGCGUGGGGAGCAAACAGGG
rnacentral:rRNA from 1 species